rnacentral:rRNA from 1 species
ACUCCUACGGGAGGCAGCAGUGAGGAAUAUUGGACAAUGGGUGGAAGCCUGAUCCAGCCAUCCCGCGUGCAGGAAGACGGCCCUAUGGGUUGUAAACUGCUUUUAUCUGGGGAUAAACCUACUUACGUGUAAGUAGCUGAAGGUACCAGAAGAAUAAGCACCGGCUAACUCCGUGCCAGCAGCCGCGGUAAUACGGAGGGUGCAAGCGUUAUCCGGAUUUAUUGGGUUUAAAGGGUCCGUAGGCGGACUGAUAAGUCAGUGGUGAAAUCCGACAGCUUAACUGUCGAACUGCCAUUGAUACUGUUAGUCUUGAGUAAGGUUGAAGUGGCUGGAAUAAGUAGUGUAGCGGUGAAAUGCAUAGAUAUUACUUAGAACACCAAUUGCGAAGGCAGGUCACUAAGUCUUAACUGACGCUGAUGGACGAAAGCGUGGGGAGCGAACAGGAUUAGAAACCCCAGUAGUCCCAUGA